GGUCGCGUAACUCAGUUGGUUAGAGUGUCGUACUAAUACAUUCCUUCAAAAUGUGUCAAGUUAUGCGAAAGCCGAGAGUUCAAGCCUCUCCGUGACCA
rnacentral:tRNA from 1 species